rnacentral:lncRNA from 1 species
AGAUCAGAAAUCGAACACGUUUGCUUUUGCGAUUCGAGAGCCCUUUCUGGCGCGGAGCUAGGGGCGGUGUUACGUAGCUGCCCUGAACUGAGAGCAGCGUUGGCCGGGGGCUAGGGAGCCGGGCUGUUCCACGCUCACUGUGCGCCUCGGGCGGCGGGGCUCGGGCUCUGUCCGAGGUGCUGAACUCCGGGGCUCCGGCCGCGCCGGCAGAGUGUGCCAGCGUCCAUUAUUGCCAGUGUCUGUGGGCAUCUUCCAGAAGGCCGAGCAUGGGGGUCAGGUGAAACCAGGGCGCCAUGUGAGACUCGCCUGCUUCUCCUUUGCCUCCCACCAUGACUGUAAGUUUCCUGCGACCUCCCCAGCCGUGCUUCCUGUACAGCCUGCAGAACUGAUGGCCUGGACUUCCUCACAGUAUGGUGGCUGGGGAGCAAGAGGAAAAGGCCCAAUGUGCAAGCACUUAUGGAGCCUCUGCCUGCAUCACAUUUGCUAAUGUCCCAUUGGCUAAAGCAAAUCACAUGGCCAAGCUCAAGUCUAUGUGGAAGGAGACUACACAAGAACAGAAAUACUGGGAGGCAUAAUUCUCCAACAGCUGCAAAGUAACAGUCUAUCACAAUUUCUAAUUCCAGCUCUUGCAGCCAGAAGACACUGUUGGGUUUUUAGAUGCAGGGACAGCCCAGAGAUCCAAGCAGAGGAAAUACGUUUGGCUCUGGGAGAGUCUGGAGUCUUAUUAGCAGCUAAAGAGCCUGACUGGGUUGUUGCAUGUGACUCCAUGGUGCAAUACAGCCUCUCCAGCCCAGGGGCCAUGACAAUAAGAAGCCUCCAUAACUGGGAGCCAGUGAAUGAAGGUAUCCUGAACAAGCAUGAAAAGAAGUAUCAGCUCAAACAGAAGUUCUAUGGGUCUAGGAUGGGAUCUUGGCCCCAGAGUGGGAAGCGGAAGAAUAAACACCCCAGCUUCCUGGCCCCUCAGGUGUGUUCUGGACCACCUCCCAGAAUCCCAGCAAGACUGAAGUCCAGGUGCCUACAACAUAACCUUCUCAUUGGCACUCUUUAAUGGUUUCCAUCCCUCCAUCCCUGUCAUAAUUCUUCCCUAUUAGGGCUUCCUGGGGUCACCUUUCAAAUAAACCACUUAUACUCAAAU